rnacentral:tRNA from 1 species
GGAGAGGUGUCCGAGUGGCCGAUGGUGACGGUCUCGAAAGCCGUUAUACCGCAAGGUAUCGUGAGUUCGAAUCUCACCCUCUCCGCCA